rnacentral:ncRNA from 1 species
UGGUGCCUGGGGUUGCGGCCCUGGGUGAAAAGGGAACCGGGUGGGAAUCCCGGACAGACGGUGCUGCUGUGUGCCUCCUGAUGGAAUUGCCCGCGCUGGACCACUGUGCACAGCCCCCGAUGGCAUGGGGCUGCAUGGGAAGGGAACAGUGCUGUGAAAGGGUAGGGGCGAGUCAGAAGACCUGCCAAAUCAA